AUCCUUACAAAGAUUUGCUUCUCGAGUUAGGGGAAAUGUGGAGUCAUGACUUAAUAAUUCCCUGUGCUACCUCACUCUUUAAUAAAUUGAGGUCCAAGUUUAUUGGUAAACUUCCAUUGAAGAUUGGAAGAGAGAGAGAGAGAGGGAAGAACUGAGGAAAGUCCGAAAACUUCCUUAACUCGUUAUUUUGCUUCUAUUCCCUCCCUUCCUUUAGCUAUCAACCACUGAAGUUGCAACAAUUUGAUGGGAAGGGCAACCCAAGAUAACACACGAUGAUCUCCUUUUCUCAUCCUAAGUUUUAACUUGCUUUAUAGAGACUCCCAACAUAGAUAUGAACGAAAGAACUACAACGUUAUGAUUGUUCCAUCAUCGACAGCUCUGUGUAUAAAGUACUUUGCUAUACAAUUGAGGUGUCACUGCAAGUUUCUACAAGCUGGCACUAGACCAAGUUCUCAGGAUGACUUGGAUUUUGUAAGAGAUAUAGGGUUAUGAAACCUGAAAUUGAAUAUUGCAGCUUUCUUUUUGUACCAUUUGUAGUUUCACUUUCACAUGGAUAUAAUAAAUGUCAUUGUAUUGCUUCUGAUAGACUGCUUUGUAUAUGCUUUGCAACAUUCUUUGUUCAUUCAAUUUUAAGGUCUCCAAUUUGCUUUAGUAACAAUUAAUCUUGCGAAUUUCUCAUCUAUGGCAUUUGGCUGGUAACAAGUACCAGUAUAUAUUUUCUUCCAAUUAAGCUACUCAUGCUGCAAAUACUUCAAGCACAUCCGCAAAACGUGCUUAUAAGUAAAAAGAACGAUUGAAUAUCAUCCCAUAAUUGCGUUAUACAAUUCAAAGUAUCCAGCUAUUAAAGAGUAAAAAGGAAUUAACCAAAAGAAAAAAAAAAAAA
rnacentral:lncRNA from 1 species